ACCGACACCCAGAGAAAUGUAAACAAACGCAGAGUCAGACUUGAUAUACGGGUGAAUUUGUUGCUUUUUAGAGCGGCAAUGGAUCUGUACAUGCGUGAGGUGGCGAGGGGCGUGGCCAGGGGGCGGCUAGCAGCGUGUGCCACCAGGGAAAUGUGUAUGAACAUAAAAAAAGGCGCCUGUCAAGAAAGGCACAGAUGCAGGGUGGUGAGGCAGUGUUCAUCCCAGGGGCAGACCACACAGGGUCAGCAACACAGGUGGUGGUGGAGAGGCACCUGUGGGACGCCCAGGGGAACACCAGACACGACCUUGACAGACAGAAGAGUUUAUUGAUGAAGUGUGGAAGAAGAGGAGGAAGGAACAAUUACAUUCGACCAGCUGCGGCAUCUGGGGGCUUCACUUGACUGGGACAGCUGUGUUUACCAUGGAUACAGCGAGAGAAUGGCCUGUGUGUCUGUCUGUACAUCUUGACGGAAGCAUUUGUCCGUCUGUACGAUGCUGGGCUGGUGUACCGCAAGGAGGCUCUCGUCAACUGGUGCUGCAGCCUUCAGUCGGCCAUCUUGGACAUUGAAGUGGACCACCUGCACCUGACAGGACCCACGGAGCUGGCAGUCCCGGGGUACAGCAAACCGGUCAGCUUCAGAAAGAUGUGGGACUUCCCUUACAGACUGGCAGACUCAGGUCCUCACCUUGUUGUAGGAGAGCUGACAACAUGUACCAGCCAGCAGCAACUCCCAUGCUAACAGGCUUCUCCCCCGUGGGUAUGUAGCACCUCUGGAGUCGCUCGAUGAAGAAGAGGAUGCUGGCGAGGCCUGUCGUGUUAGCCGGGAUGCGCCGGUACAGAGCUGUGUCCGUUGGGGUUGUGUAGGCAAGCAUCUUCUUGGCAAGGUCCUCGUAGGUGGCCACAAACAGUUUACGGCUGUGGGAUGAGAACUUGUCUUGUGAAUGUGACGUUGGGAGGAGGGAAGCACAGGGAAGGAGGAGGACGAGGAGGAAGAGAGUGAAGAGUCACAAGAGGAGGAGGAAGGUGGAAAGAAAGAGGAAGGAGAGGAGGAGGAGGAGGAGGAGGAAGAUGGAGAAGGAAAGGAGAAAGAUAAGAAGGAAGGAAAUGCCGCAGAAGGAGAAGGUGAGAAUACUGAGGAAGAGGAAGAGAUGACCACCCUACAGUGUGCCUGGGAGUGGCUGGAUGUGGCUCGGGUCAUCUUUGACAAGCCAUGCUGCUGGGCAAGGGUGAGGGACCCAGGUCAUCAGGGGCGGUGUUCUCCCAAGCAAGGGAAGGAGAGGCAAGUGGAAGUGCUGCCUCGUCAUCCAAGUCUUCUGACGCCAAACCUCUCAUUUGUCAAGUGAGACGCAAGCAUAGGCAGGCCAGGCAUGGAUGUCCACCUGAGACACGAAGGAGACGCAGCUCUUGUGGCUCUAUCUUUCCUCAUCAAUGACGGAGCUCUCGUGUCCGCGACUGGGGAUGACAACCUACACAUGUGGUCAUUGUGGCAGAAAACACCACAAAUUUUGCAUUCUCUCAAGUUCCAGAGGGAGAGGAUCACCACCUUACAUGUCCCGUUCCAAAGCAAGUGGCUGUAUUUGGGAACCGAGCGAGGCAACAUUCAUAUCGUUAAAAUUGUGACUUCUGAACUGAGUGGUUACUGUAUAAACUGGAAUAAGGCCAUUGAAUUGUCACGCAAGACACACCCUGGCGCAGUGGUCCAUCUUAGUGAAAACCCUGUCGACCCUGGCAAGGUCAGCAAUCCCCAGGAACUCAUCAUCCACCACUUCUGUCUUGCAUGUUGUACCUGUGUGGGUAAAUAUGGUUUAUAGAGGGCUUGCCUAGUGUAGUCUUGCAGCUUCCCCUAUGCUCUUAUGUACAUGGCAAGAUAUGUUAGACUUUGUCCUUAAGGACUGCUUUGCCUUGGCCUCCCUGUGAGUUUGUCAGCCAGUCCAUAUACUGUACUAGGUAGAUAGAACUGAAGGUCAUCAUUGUUGCUUUCAAGCGUUAGGUCUUCUAAACUUCACCUUCGCUGCUUUCAAAAGGCUCUAGAUGAAGUUACACUGAUGCUUAUACAGGUCUAAUGCCAAAUUAACAAGAUUUCAAAUUCAUCAACAGGAGGAAAACCUUCUUGAGAACCCAUCUAUGUAGCCUCUGAAAAUGGUCAUGGUGAGAGAGCAGAGGAUUUCAGAAUACGGGCCAUGGUUUCACACGUGCAUUGCUACCUACC